UACGUAGGGUGCAAGCGUUAAUCGGAAUUACUGGGCGUAAAGCGUGCGCAGGCGGUUAUGCAAGACAGAUGUGAAAUCCCCGGGCUUAACCUGGGAACCGCAUUUGUGACUGCAUAGCUGGAGUACGGCAGAGGGGGAUGGAAUUCCGCGUGUAGCAGUGAAAUGCGUAGAUAUGCGGAGGAACACCGAUGGCGAAGGCAAUCCCCUGGGCCUGCACUGACGCUCAUGCACGAAAGCGUGGGGAGCAAACAGG
rnacentral:rRNA from 1 species